AGACUGCCUUCGCAAGGAGGAGGAAGGUGAGGACGACGUCAAGUCAUCGUGGCCCUUACGGCCAGGGCUACACACGUGCUACAAUGGGGCGUACAGAGAGCUGCGAUACCGCGAGGUGGAGCCAAUCUCUUAAAGCGUCACUCAGUUCGGAUUGUUCUCUGCAACUCGAGAACAUGAAGCUGGAAUCACUAGUAAUCGCAGAUCAGCUAUGCUGCGGUGAAUACGUUCCCGGGUCUU
rnacentral:rRNA from 1 species